GCAUUCGUGGUGUAAUGGUAACAUUCCAGCCUUCCACUAGUACGGUUAGCUUGAGCCUCGGGUUCGAUUCCCGGCGAAUGCA